UGGCUCAGAUGGUAAAGCAUCUGUCUACAAUGCAGGAGACCCAGGUUUGAUCCCUGG
rnacentral:tRNA from 1 species